rnacentral:rRNA from 1 species
UUGUGCCAGCAGCCGCGGUAAUUCCAGCUCCAAUAGCGUAUAUUAAAGUUGUUGCGGUUAAAAAGCUCGUAGUUGGAUUUCUGUCAACGAGUGGCGCUCCGCCCCUUGUGGUGAGUAGUCGUCAUGCCGUUGGCAUCUUUCUGGGGAGUGUAUCUGCACUUCAUUGUGUGGUGCAUAAGCCAGGACAUUUACUUUGAGGAAAUGAGAGUGUUUCAAGCAGGCGCACGCCGUGAAUACGUUAGCAUGGAAUAAUAGCAUCGGAUCUCGCUCCAAAGCUGUUGGUUUCUUGGGUCGAGAUAAAGGUGAAUAGGGAUUGUUGGGGGCAUUCGUAUUUAACUGUCAGAGGUGAAAUUCUUGGAUUUGUUGAAGACGGACUACUGCGAAAGCAUCUGCCAAAGAUGUUCUCAUUGAUCAAGAACGAAGGUUAGGUGAUCGAAGACGAUCAGAUACCGUCCUAGUCUUAACCAUAAACUAUGCCGACUGGAGAUAGGGGGUCGUUAAAUUGGUGACGCCUUCUGCAUCUUGAGAGAAAUCAAAGUCUUUGGGUUCCGGGGGGAGUAUGGUCGCAAGGCUGAAACUUAAAGGAAUUGACGGAAGGGCACCACCAGGAGUGGAGCCUGCGGCUUAAUUUGACUCAACACGGGGAAACUUACCAGGUCCAGACAUAGUGAGGAUUGACAGACUGAUAGCUCUUUCGAGAUUCUAUGGGUGGUGGUGCAUGGGCCGUUCUUAGUUGGUGGAGUGAUUUGUCUGGUUAAUUCCGUUAACGAACGAGACCUUAACCUGCUAAAUAGGCUCCAGAAUCUUCGGUUCCAGGAGGCCUUCUUAGAGGGACGUCGCGUGUCUAACGCUAGGAAGUGUGAGGCAAUAACAGGUCUGUGAUGCCCAAGGG